rnacentral:rRNA from 1 species
UACGUAGGGUGCAAGCGUUGUCCGGAAUUAUUGGGCGUAAAGAGCUCGUAGGCGGUCUGUCGCGUCGGCUGUGAAAUCCCGAGGCUCAACCUCGGGUCUGCAGUCGAUACGGGCAAACUGGAGUGUUGCAGGGGAGACUGGAAUUCCUGGUGUAGCGGUGAAAUGCGCAGAUAUCAGGAGGAACACCGGUGGCGAAGGCGGGUCUCUGGGCAACAACUGACGCUGAAGAGCGAAAGCGUGGGGAGCGAACAGG